AUGUAUCUCUUCACAAAGAGAGCUUUCUCUUCCUCGUGCACCCAACACGGUGUCACUCGCCCUGUCUCAGGACAGUGCAGAGUCACAAGCAAUGAUUAUAAUGGCCUCUCGAGGGCGCGAGAGUGCCAACAGCACACUAUGCCCACCACGGGCCGCCCCCCAGCCAGUGCUUCUAACCUCGCGGGGGCGGGGCCCAGGUCAAAGUGCACCCAACACUGUGUCGCUCGCCCUGUCUCAGGACAAUGCAGAGUCACAAGCAAUGAUUAUAAUGGCCUCUCGAGGGCGCGAGAGUGCCAACAGCACACAAUGCCCGCCACGGGCCGCCCCCCAGCCGGUGCUUCUAAACUCGCGGGGGCGGGGCCCCGGUCAAAACAAGCCUUCAGUGGCUACAGUAGCCUUAGAGCUAACGCGUCCGCUGUGUCAUUUUCUGGACGCGUGGAAGGCUAUCCCAGGCAUUUCACCGUGGGUACUGGGAAUUAUUCAGCAAGGAUAUUCUCUUCAGUUCAAACGCAGACCUCCCCGAUUCAACGGCGUGGUCCCGUCACUGACUUUGCCCCACAACCUUUCAAUUCUGAGACAGGAAGUUUUCAGUCUGCUCGAGAAAGGAGCGAUAGAGCGUGUCCCUCCAAGCGAGCAGAGAAGCGUUUUUUACAGCCGCUACUUCGUGGUGCCAAAGAAGGGUGGAGGACUCCGUCCUAUUCUGGAUCUGAGACCCAUCAACCGAGCACUUCACAAACGCGCAUUCAGGAUGACAACACUAAAACAGAUCUUGAUGCAGGUAUGACCCGGGGACUGGUUCGCCUCAGUGGAUCUAAAAGAUGCGUACUUUCAUAUUCAAAUAGCGACGCACCACAGACGCUUCCUCAGGUUUGCUUUCGAAGGCACGGCUUAUCAGUAUUCAGUGCUUCCGUUUGGCCUGGCCCUGGCUCCCCGCACGUUUUCAAAGUGUGUGGACGCAGCGCUUUCUCCCCUCAGAUCGAGCGGAAUGCGCAUCUUGAAUUAUCUGGACGACUGGCUGAUUUUGGCCCACUCAAGAGAUGUGCUAAUCAGUCACGUGGAAAUGCUGCUCCGCCAUUUGGAUACGCUGGGACUGCGUGUAAAUAUGCAGAAGAGCGUGCUUUUACCGAGUCGGACUAUAACAUAUCUGGGAGUAUGUUUGGACUCGAUGGCGAUGCAAGCCCAUCUUUCUCGGAAGCGCAUGGAGACAAUCUCAUCGACUCUGCGCCGUUUCAGACCGGGCAGGUCGGUUUCACUGAGGGAUUUUCAGAGGCUUCUGGGUCUGAUGGCGGCGGCUUCUUCAGUGUGCCAUCUGGGUCUGUUACAUAUGCGACCACUACAGCUUUGGCUAAAAGCUCGAGUUCCCCCGAGGGCUUGGUCAUCGAGCCACAAACGAAUUACGGUCAAUCACAGUUGCGUCAGCACUCUGAGACCGUGGAACAGCACAGAUAUGUUCAGCGCAGGAGUUCCUUUGGGUUUAGUGACUCGGCGCACCGUGGUCUCGACGGACGCGUCAACUUCAGGCUGGGGAGCAGUGUGCCUGGGCGUACCUGCCUCAGGCCUGUGGUCGGAGUCACAGAGGACGUGGCACAUAAACCGUUUAGAAUUGGAAGCGGUUUUCCUCGCCCUGCAAGCCUUUCGGUCGAAGCUGGAGCGGCGGCAUGCACUGAUUCGAACCGACAACACGUCUGUGGUCUCGUACAUAAAUCGCCAGGGUGGCAUGCGGUCCAGAGCUCUAUUCAAUCGAGCAGUGAGUCUCUUGUUGUGGGCGGACCUACACUUUCUCUCCAUAAUAGCGGCGCACAUCCCCGGUAUCCUGAACCGCGGAGCAGACAUGCUUUCGAGGAACGGGAUUCCUCAAGGAGAGUGGAGGCUUCACCCAGGAUCAGUUCAAAUGAUUUGGGAUCGUUUCGGCAGGGCGGAAGUGGAUUUAUUCGCCACAAGCGAGAACACGCACUGUCAGACGUUUUUCUCGCUAUCUCACUCCCCUCUACCGGGAGAUGCUCUGACAUCGCGCUGGCCGGAAGCCAGGCUUUACGCGUUUCCUCCGGUGAAGAUUCUGCCUUUGGUUUUAUGCAAAAUCAGGGAGGAGAGAGCGUCAGUUAUACUCGUGGCCCCGAACUGGCCGAAUCAACCCUGGUUCGCGGACCUGAGAGAGUUAGUGAUGGCUCCCCCAUGGCAAAUCCCCCUCAGGAAGGACCUGCUGUCUCAAGCGAAUGGCACGAUAUGGCACCCCAGCCCCGAGCUGUGGAACCUUCAUGUGUGGCCACUGCGGGGACCUUAAACGAGCGGGACGCCCUGCACUCACGGGUGUUGAGUACGCUUACGGAGGCUCGCGCUCCAUCUACGAGACGCCUCUACGCUCUGAAGUGGGGAGUUUUCAAAAAAUGGUGUGAGAACAUUCAAAUCGACCUGGGGACCUGUUCCAUGUCGGAUGUUUUACGCUUUCUACAGCACAGAAUGGACUGCGGGAGUUUGCCGUCCACGCUUAAAGUGUAUGUGGCCGCUAUUGCCACUUUUCGUUCCCCGAUUGACGGGCAAUCGAUCGGUAAGCAUGGCCUGGUAAUCAGUUUUCUCAGGGGAGCGAGGAGAUUGUGUCCUUCACGGCCACCCUCCGUGCCGCCGUGGGAUUUAGCUCUAGUUUUGAGGGCUCUAGCUCUACCGCCGUUCGAGCCUUUAGCUUCUAUUGAGGUUAAGGAGCUUUCCCUGAAGACUGCCUUGCUUCUUGCUCUCGCCUCGUCGAAGCGCAUUGGAGACCUACAUGCAUUUUCGGUGAACGACGAUUGCAUCUGUUUCGGACCCGGCGACUGUAAUGUCACUCUCCGGCCGAGACCAGGUUACAUUCCGAAGUCUCUCAAUACACCUUUUAGAGCACAGGUUGUUUCACUGCCCGCCUUAUCUGCUGAGCCGUCAGCCUCGCACGAUGCUGUUGCUCAGAGCGCUGUUUGCCCUGUUAGGGCUCUGCGGAUGUAUAUGGACCGCUCAGCCACCUUUCGUCAGUCGGACCAGCUGUUCGUGUGCUUUGGUGGAUGUAAUAAGGGACGUGCUGUUUCAAAACAGAGACUUUCUCACUGGAUAGUGGACGCUAUCGCGUUGGCUUACAAAUGCCAAGGGAAGGAUUGUCCCCUCAACAUCAAAGCUCAUUCUGUGAGGGCUAUAUCUUCCUCCUGGGCCUGGGCUAGAGGUAUGUCUAUCCAGGAUUUAUGUCUUGCUGCUGGCUGGUCUUCCCAGAACACAUUCGCCAGGUUUUACAAGCUGGAUGUACCCUCUGUAGCGUCACAUGUACUUUCGGUGAGUUAA
ensembl:lncRNA